GACGAACGCUGGCGGCGUGCUUAACACAUGCAAGUCGAACGGAAAGGCCCUGCUUUUGUGGGGUGCUCGAGUGGCGAACGGGUGAGUAACACGUGAGUAACCUGCCCUUGCCUUUGGGAUAACUUCAGGAAACUGGGGCUACUACCGGAUAGGAGCUCCUGCUGCAUGGUGGGGGUUGGAAAGUUUCGGCGGUUGGGGAUGGACUCGCGGCUUAUCAGCUUGUUGGUGGGGUAGUGGCUUACCAAGGCUUUGACGGGUAGCCGGCCUGAGAGGGUGACCGGCCACAUUGGGACUGAGAUACGGCCCAGACGCCUACGGGAGGCAGCAGUGGGGAAUAUUGCACAAUGGGCGGAAGCCUGAUGCAGCAACGCCGCGUGCGGGAUGACGGCCUUCGGGUUGUAAACCGCUUUCGCCUGUGACGAAGCGUGAGUGACGGUAAUGGGUAAAGAAGCACCGGCUAACUACGUG
rnacentral:rRNA from 1 species